AUACGGAGGAUGCGAGCGUUAUCCGGAUUUAUUGGGUUUAAAGGGGGCGUAGGUGGGAUAUUAAGUCAGCUGUGAAAGUUUGGGGCUCAACCUUAAAAUUGCAGUUGAUACUGGUUUCCUUGAGUACGGUACAGGUGGGCGGAAUUCGUGGUGUAGCGGUGAAAUGCUUAGAUAUCACGAAGAACUCCGAUCGCGAAGGCAGCUCACCGGGCCGGAACUGACACUGAUGCUCGAAAGUGCGGGUAUCAAACAGGAUUAGAUACCCUGGUAGUCCGCACAGUAAACGAUGAAUGCUCGCUGUUUGCGAUACACGGUAAGCGGCCAAGCGAAAGCGUUAAGUAUUCCACCUGGGGAGUACGCCGGCAACGGUGAAACUUAAAGGAAUUGACGGGG
rnacentral:rRNA from 1 species